GACGAGCCUCACAAACGUUAUUCGGAAUUACUGGGCUUAAAGGGUGCGUAGGCGGCGCGGAAAGUUGGGUGUGAAAUCCCUACGGCUCAACCGAGGAACUGCGCCCAAAACUACCGUGCUCGAGGAAGAUAGAGGUGAGCGGAACUUACGGUGGAGCGGUGAAAUGCGUUGAUAUCGUAAGGAACACCCGUGGCGAAAGCGGCUACACUGGUCUUCGUCUGACGCUGAUGCACGAAAGCUAGGGAGCAAACGGG
rnacentral:rRNA from 1 species